CCGCUAUGUAGACAAGAUGGUGGCCGUUGAGGGUGGAAAGUGUCCAUUGGUCCACACUCAAGUUUUAGAUUGUUUUGAGUGCGCCACCGAGGUACUUCCAGUGCACUGCGUUUUGGCAGUUUUUUCACAAAGUGCAUUCAAAGAUAUGCUAAACUACGCGAAGGUAGCUCGUUAAACUCCUACAUUAAGAGGGGAGGAAACCACCGUUAGGGAGUAGGAGGGGAGGGGAGUAGGAGGGUGUAGAGGAGGAGGAGAGAAGGAGAGAAGGGGACCAGGGGAGGAGGAGAGAGGAGAGAAGGAGGCCAGGAGAGGAGGAGAGAGGAGAGGAGGAUGAGGAGGAGAGAUUAGAGAAGGAGGCCAGGCUGUCUUUACCUCCUCCGAGAGGCUGCAGAGCUGGGGAUUGAGAUCCAUUGUAGGGAGAACACUUCCUGCUAGUCACCAAGACACACACACACACACACACACACACACACACACACACACACACACAAUUGUAUGUGUAUUUAUGUUCUAUUCAAAGAACAAUUACUCAUAAUAUUAUCCAAGAAGUCGAACAGACAGACAGAUCGACAGGCAGGCAGACAGACAGGCAGGCAGGCAGACAGACAGAUUGACAGACAGGCAGAUUGACAGACAGGCAGACAGACACAAAGUUGGGCUGCCUGGCCUGUCUAAAUUUGGAGAGCUCAUUGAUAAGGUUGAGACGUGUCAGUUCAGAUCUCAGUCCGAACGGCCUCUGGAGCCUCUGUAGUGUGUCAGUCUAUAAUGUCAGUCACUCUGUGGUGUGUCUGUCUGUCAGUCUAUAGCGUCUGUGUUGUCUGUCAGUCUAAAAUGUCAGUCACGUGUGUCAGUCUGUCAGUCCAUAGCGUCUGUGUUGUCUGUCAUUCUAUAAUGUCAGUCACUCUGUAGUGUGUCAUUCUGUCAGUCUAUAGCGUCUGUGUUGUCUGUCUGUCUGUCUGUCUGUCUGUCUGUCUGUCUGUCUGUCUGUCUGUCUGUCUGUCUGUGGUUGGCGCCACCUUUCCUCCGUUCGGACUUCGGUCCGGAUGCUUUCGUAAACGCUUCUGGAAAACGUAAUACGAUUUAGGACACACGACGAACCUAAGACCUACACACUAGGCUGGGCUGUGUGUGUGUGUGUGUCUGUGUGUGUGUCUCUGUGUGUUUGGGUUGGUCACUGUGUGCGUCUGUGUGGCAGGGUGGGUGUGUGUGUGUGUGUGGGUGUGCAUUUGUGUGUCUGUGUGUGUGUCUGGACUCUGCCAACAUUUCUGUCCAAACCAAAUUGUCAGCUAAUCCAAUGAAAACACAAAACGCUUGUUUCCACAACGACAACAAAGGAUUCAUCCCCCCCACCCCCACCACCGGACUUCUGACUCACCCCUUGGUGUGUGUGUGUGUGUGUGUGUGUGUGU
ensembl:lncRNA